rnacentral:sRNA from 1 species
UUUAGUAUCGGUAAUGUGCAUUCGAUCAACGCGUUUCCUUAAAGUCCUAGCCGUUGUAUUUCUAAGCAUCCUUUUGCAAUUUUGUGCCAUUGAAAUCUGUUUGGAUAUCGACCAUGGAAUUGAAGACAAUAGCGAAAGGACAUUGUUGAUGAUUUCCGCCAUUGUGACCACUAUUUUUCUGAUUUUUUUCUCAUGCUUUGGUAUUUUUGUCGUAUUAGGUGAUCAAGUUAAUCGACUGAAACUGCUGGCAAUCGGCAUCGCUGUCUUCAUAGUUAUCAAAUUCACUCUGUGGGUACUCUUCUUGACACUUGCCAACCAACCCGACGUGGCUAAGAGCACCCUAUGGUUACACCUUACGAACUUAUGGGCAGUAUUAAGUCUGAUUACGAUUAUACUUUUGAUCAGAGGACGAAUGCGUAGCUAAAAGCUAAAAGAUUUGUGUCGCCUACAUCAUAAAACAUAAAUAUUUUGCAAUAUACAAAUGUGCUUUUUAGGAUUACGUGUACUUAAGGCUAAUGUCCAUAUUCUCUCUCUGUUGGUCUUGUUUUGCAAUGUUGUUGACCUUGUCAUCACUAUUAAAAACCUUGACGAAUGCAAGGGAACAGCAAAAAUCUGGUUGAUUGUAUCGAUACUGCUAAAUACUCUACUCAAUUUUGGAAUUAGCUUGGGAAGUUAUGGAGCUGUGAUAAUGAAAACAUUAUACCUAAAGCUGUAUGCAGUCACACUGAUGGGCUUCAUGAUCAGCAAACUAGUUCUUGCACAAGCAGUCAGGUAUUUGGAUGAUGCACAUUACAAUCUGUUAGUGGGAAAUUGGUAUUAUCUGGUUACAACAUUUUCUGUUCUCUGUUUAAUAUUCGUUGUAUCACUUCUUUUCAAAAUGCGGGAACGAAGGGAUAUCAAUUCAGAUGGAUGAGUUGUAAAUAAAUAAAUACUAGAUCAGAUUAGCCGAUUUUGUUUCAUAAUUAAAAGAAAAAUGUUAUGUAAAUUGGAUUGUAUAGCUUCUAUAAUACAAAGCUU